rnacentral:rRNA from 1 species
AUUGAACGCUGGCGGAAUGCUUUACACAUGCAAGUCGAACGGCAGCACGGACUUCGGUCUGGUGGCGAGUGGCGAACGGGUGAGUAAUGUAUCGGAACGUGCCCAGUCGUGGGGGAUAACGUAGUGAAAAUUACGCUAAUACCGCAUACGAUCUAUGGAUGAAAGCGGGGGAUCGCAAGACCUCGCGCGAUUGGAGCGGCCGAUAUCAGAUUAGGUCGUUGGUGGGGUAAAGGCCCACCAAGCCAACGAUCUGUAGCUGGUCUGAGAGGACGACCAGCCACACUGGAACGGAGAACCGGUCCAGACGCCUACGGGAGGCAGCAGUGUGGAAUCUUGGACAAUGGGCGAAAGCCUGAUCCAGCCAUUCCGCGUGCAGGAUGAAGGCCCUCGGGUUGUAAACUGCUUUUGUACAGAACGAAAAGGUUUCUACUAAUACUAGGAGCUCAUGACGGUACUGUAAGAAUAAGCACCGGCUAACUACGUGCCAGCAGCCGCUGUAA